rnacentral:tRNA from 1 species
ACUUCUUCAGUAUAAGCGUACAUUUACCUUCCAAGUAAAAAGAUUAAUAACUUAAAAGAAGCA